AUGUUCAAAUCCAGGUAAAUAUGUUCCCAAAGUCACUAAGCUAAACCUCUUCUUUCUGAAUUAGUCCUGACCUGAACAGGACAAGAGAAUAGAGAAAUACCCAAUAAAAUUUAACUCUCACACUGUGAAAGACUAUUUCAAACCUUUUCUGGUGCAACUAAGUAAGUUUUUUGGCCCAAGAAUUAAUUGACUAGGACUUCAGAGGUAAGUCAAAAGGCCUUUGGAAAAAGAAAGGUGGAUCCAAAACAGCAGAGGAAGUGCAGAGAAACAAGGGAGGAUAAGAGGCAACAAUGGGUUCUCAGAUGCACCCUCACCGACAACUUUGGAAAUGUCAAAGGUAAACAAUGAGACAGGAAGUUGGAGAGGAAAACGGCCAGGGAAAGUUCAGCCCUGUAUCCCUUCCACGCCCUCACUGCCCAUUAUGACUCUCACUGAGUCAGCCCAGAUGGGAGGAAAGCAGAGACCUCACUCACCCAAUGUCCAGCCUCUCCAUGGCCUGGAACUAGUGGAGGAUGAAGCUUGUGAGUGCAGCUCAGACACACCCAUGGUACCCCCUGUCCCACUGCACAUCCAUACCCAGAGAUUUCAAUCAGAGCCCCGGAGUACAGAGAGCACCGCCCAGGGGCCUGGGUUCUGAGUAGAGGCUACCAGAGAUUACAUUCAUCUGAGAGAGUCAACACAGAAGGUUCCAGAGGGAAAACGGAAAUCAACAUGAGUUUUGUAAUGGUUGGGAGGAGAAGGGACUAUCAUUUAUUCCUUCAUAUGUCCAAGAGAGCGAGGCCCCAGGGAUGCAACAGUGCUCAGAAGAGUAGUUUCUAUCCUCCUGUGAAGUCUCCUGGGAAAGACAGACCAUUAACAAGCAUGUAAUAGUGGUGAAGACCAUCUUCCCUGGUUGGUGAAACUCCCAGGGAAGCACCUAUGCCAGCUGGAAUUUUCAAGAGAACUUGUCUUAAGGCAGGGUGGUCUUGGCUCAUGUACCUGCUAGGGACUACUACGUACAUGUGACAGAACCCUGAACCAGCAAACCGAAGUUAAUAUGAAAGGAAGAAAGAAACACGGUUCCUGGUAAGUCAUCUCAGUGUUUCUGACGCCAAAGCUACAAGUGUAAAUGCUACACAUGUGAUCACAACGGCAAAUGUUCGACAUAGCAAAAACCAAAGAUUUACAACUGGAAGAUAUAUUCUAAUACCAUAUAGUUCCGUUGUCUUCAACACCAGAA